CAACAUUUCAUUCUAAAACUUGUAAUAUUUGCAUUUGCCCAUAACACUGUUGUUGGAUGUAAGCUCCUCUGGUUUGCUCAGCCUAUUAUCAGAAUAAAAUAAAUUAGCUGAAAGAUUGUGAUCCCUUUGAUUAUUCCCUCGCCCACCUGGGAUUUUCAGGGGUGGGUGAGGGACAUCAGGAACACCACCGAGGCCUGGGACCCAGGUUACUACAGCAAUUGAAAGAAACUCUGGAACUUACACUACUAUUACUGGGAAUACUCAUUAGAUGCAUGGCUCUUCUUUUAUUUCCUUCUUUCUCUCUGGCAAAGCAAUGACUAUUUAGUAUCCGCUGGAGGGAGGAUUUCACCAUCCGGCCUCUCUGGUCUCGGAACCAGAAAAAUCCCUCGCCUUCUGCACUGUCCAACGGACUCUUAAAAU